AUUGAACGCUGGCGGCAGGCCUAACACAUGCAAGUCGAGCGAGCGGCGGACGGGUGAGGAAUGUCUGGGAAACUGCCUGAUGGAGGGGGAUAACUACUGGAAACGGUAGCUAAUACCGCACACCAUCAGAUGUGCCCAGAUGGGAUGAGCUAGUAGGUGGGGUAACGGCCCACCUAGUCGACGAUCCGCAGCUGGUCUGAGAGGAUGACCUGCCAAACUGGAACUGAGACACGGUCCAGACUCCUACGGUAGGCAGCAGUGGGGAAUAUUGCACAAUGGGCGAAAGCCUGAUGCAGCCAUGCCGCGUGUGUGAAGAAGGCCUUCGGGUUGUAAAGCACUUUCGGCGGGGAGGCGUUACCCGCAGAAGAAGCACCGGCUAACUCCGUGCCAGCCGCCGCGGUAAUAC
rnacentral:rRNA from 1 species